UACGAAGGGGGCUAGCGUUGCUCGGAAUUACUGGGCGUAAAGAGUGUGUAGGCGGUGCUCCAAGUCUGGUGUGAAAUCUCCCGGCUUAACUGGGAGGGUGCAUUAGAAACUGGAAUGCUAGAGGAUGGGAGAGGUAAGCGGAAUUCCUGAUGUAGCGGUGAAAUGCGUAGAUAUCAGGAGGAACACCUGUGGUGUAGACAGCUUACUGGACCAUUUCUGACGCUGAGACACGAAAGCGUGGGUAGCAAACAGG
rnacentral:rRNA from 1 species